rnacentral:rRNA from 1 species
UACGUAGGGCGCAAGCGUUUGUCCGGAAUUAUUGGGCGUAAAGAGCUCGUAGGCGGCUUGUCACGUCGGGUGUGAAAGCCCGGGGCUUAACCCCGGGUCUGCAUUCGAUACGGGCUAGCUAGAGUGUGGUAGGGGAGAUCGGAAUUCCUGGUGUAGCGGUGAAAUGCGCAGAUAUCAGGAGGAACACCGGUGGCGAAGGCGGGUCUCUGGGCCGUAACUGACGCUGAGGAGCGAAAGCGUGGGGAGCGAACAGG